UUUCAUUCAUAUAAGGAUGGGGUAGACUGCAGCCAACCCCUGAAGUCAGGAGGGAAGACAGACCUUGACCCCAGUAUGAAAUGGAGACUGUCAACUGCCCAUUUAUGUGAAGAGAUUUCAAGAAUUCAUAAACAUAAUGAAAAUAUGAUAUCCCAUGAAUCAACUAAGCUAUCUUAACGACAUUGACCAAAGGAAGCUGUGCAAUACAAAGGAUCUGUGUCAUUGUGUUAAGGAUUAGUGGAUCUUUGACCCUACAUUAUUAUGAAGGAUUUGUGAACUUGUGUUAAGGAGCUGUGACCCUGUUUUAAGGAUCUGUGAUUUUGUGUAAAGGACCAAUGACCUAAGCAUUAAGGAUCUGUGACCCUGGUUUAAGGAUCUGUGAUUUUAUUUAAAGGACCGAUGACCUAAGCAUUAAGGAUCUGUGACCCUGUUUUAUGGAUCUGUGAUUUUGCGUAAAGGACCAAUGACCUAAGCAUUAAGGAUCUGUGACCCUGUUUUAUGGAUCUGUGAUUUUGGGUAAAGGACCAAUGACCUAAGCAUUAAGGAUCUGUGACCCUGAUUUAUGGAUCUGUGAUUUUGGGUAAAGGAUCUGAGACCUUGAUUUCAGGAGAUUUUAUUGUAGAAGUUUUCAUAGUGGAAGAAAUGAUUGCAACCAACUGCCACAAGUGUUUAAUUGGCUCAAGUUUUCCUGGAACUUAUAGUGACAUCCUAUGGAGAGGUGGAGUUUGUUUCUCAUUCAACUGCAGGAAGGAGGAUUAUGGCAGACCUACAGAAGAAGAGGAACAGAAGAAGAGGAACAGAAGAAGGAACAGAAGAAGAGGAAAAGAAGAAGAGGAGUCGACAAUGGAAGAAGAGGAACAGAAGAAGAGGAGUCCAUUGCCCAGCUAUGUCUAAUAACCAUUUGCAAUAUUGAGGAAUGGUUAGGUAUGCCUUGAUCCCACUAUGAUAUGCAAGUCCAUGUUCAGGAGUCUCUUGAGGAAGGAUCGACUUAAGCCAACCAUUGAAGAGAGGAAAUGCAAAGUAAUGCAGCCCUCUGUCCCCGUGUUAAAAAGACAAGCUUUUAUUCACAUACAGAUGGGGUAGACUGCAGCCAACCCCUGAAGUCAGGAGGGAAGACAGACCUUGACCCCAGUAUGAAUUGAAGACUAUCAACUGCCCAUUUAUGUGAAGAGAUUUCAAGAAUUCAUAAACAUAUUGAAAAUAUGAUAUCCCAUGAAUCAACUAAGCUAUCUUAACGACAUUGACCAAAGGAAGCUGUGCAAUACAAAGGAUCUGUGUCAUUGUGUUAAGGAUUUGUGUCAUUGACUAUUAUGGAUCUUUGACCCUGCUUUAUUAUGAAGAAUUUGUGAUCUUGUGUUAAGGAUCUGUGACCCUGUUUUAAGGAUCUGUGAUUUUGUGUAAAGGACCAAUGACCUAAGCAUUAAGGAUCUGUGACCCUGUUUAAAGGAUCUGUGACCUUGUUUUAAGGAUCUGUGACCCUGCUUUUAGGAUCUAUGACCUUGUGUUAAGGAUCUGUGACCUUGUGUUUUGUUUUAAAGAUCUGUGACAUUGGUUAAGGAUAUGUGAUUUUGUGGGAAGGAUCUGUGAUUUUGUUAAAAGGAUCUAUGACCCUGUGUUCAGGAUC